CUUCACAAGGCUGGAGGAUGGGCCGCUGCACCCGAAGAAACAACCUCUUGGAGAGGGAAAUUAAGAUUACAGAAUUACAGAAUUGUUACGCCCUUGUGGGUCUCUCAUUGGCCCAUGGACCUCCCGACUGAUCUGGUGUUUGGGUGUUUGGAUGGUGCAGCUGUAGCCAUGGACCAGCUCCCUGCAAGAACCACACAAAGCCCCGACGAUGGAGAGAAGGAAAGAGUUGAUCCAACCUCCAGUAGAAGCCAGUGGGGCUGGGUGAGGACAGGCAAUUGCUGGUGGGAUGGAUUUCCUUCCCUCCAGCCCUGUGCAGAAAUCCCCUCUGAUAGAGCUGCGAGUACACAUGGGGGAUUAGCUCAACCGAUCCCAUUAAAUGGAGCUGGAGCAAGAGAGGAGAAGGGUAUGGGGGGUCAGGGCAGCCAGCACAGCAGCCACCACUUCUGCUGUUUGGGAGAAACCUCAUGCCAAGCUGCAAAAAGGACUUUUUAUAGAUUUCUGUGUACCUGCCUGCUGGCUUGGCUUCACGGCCCAGCAGGGCCACCCGGGAGUUAAACUGCAGGGCAUUUAAGGUGGCAUUUCAGACACUUGCCCACCUUGACUGCUCUCUGACUUGGCACCAGCAGCUUCUGCCUCCAGCAAGAACUGUCUCUCCACAGCAAGCCCAGCCAUGCCAGCAUGGCCCCAGGCAGCUCUGAGUGCUCUGAGAGGAAAGCAGAGGAACAGCAGGAUGUACCCGCUGUCCAAAGUCAACUCCAGAUGAGACUGGCAGGAGGGAAUCAUUUCCCAGAAAGAUCCCAUUUAGAGGGGAACAGCACAUCCAUCAUUUGCUCAAGUUCUCCUUGAGCAUCAUCUUGUGCUACAUCAUCUUGUGUCACCUCCUAUGACCCCAAGGAGAAGCAGUUUUGGCUGGUGGACGUAUGGGACAUACGUUCCCACACUGUUCUGGGCUGCUUGUGGAAAAGGUCUCUCUGGUGUUAAUUAGCUUCACCCCAAUGUUCCCAAAUUCACCCCAAAGCACAGCAGCAACAGGUUGGGAGGUGAGCCUGGGGGCAGUACAGCUGCAGGCUGGGGUUCUUUUGUUUCCUUAUUUUAAACCAAGCUUUAGUAGUGCUUUAUUUCAGAAAGCUUAGAUCUUUUCAAAAGAGGAUUGACUUUUUAAAACAAUUUUUUAUUGCAUUGGUGUCUAUGAGAAAGGUUGAGGCAGCAUCCAUUGCAGCUCCUGCUAUGGGCUUCCUGCAUGGUCUGUCUGGAUCAGGUAUGUCCUUGCUCUGAGGCAGUCUCUUACUAUGGCUUUCCCAAUCCGUGCUUUCUCUCCCAAAUCCAUGCCUUUCAUCCUCUACAGAAAGAGCCAGGCAAGGCCUGGCAGCAGCCAGAGCAGGCUGAGCAGGAGGCUCCUCUUGUGGGGGGACAAACCUCCCCCCAGCCAGCUCAGGGGGAAUUCAGCUGCUCCAGCCUCGAGGAGCCGUGUCCCCUGUGGCUUCCCUCCGUGGGUUUAAUGGGAGCAAUUAGCUCCGAGGCAAUCUGCAUGGGUCGGGGGCAUGUUUUCUCUCUGUCCUGAGGCGUUUUUGACAGGAAGCUGGAGGGUGUCCAGGAACAAUUGCUUAUGCUUGGCUAGCAGUGCCAGGCUGGAGCCAGCUGGGGCAGAGGCAGCGCAGGUAAGAACAGGCACAAGAGCAUCACUGCCACUCUGGAAUGGUGUGGCCAGCAGGAGCAGGGAGCUCAUUCUGCCCCUGUACUCAGCACUGCUGAGGGCACACCUCGAGUGCUGUGUCCAGCUCUGGCCCCUCAGUUU